CCACUUGGCUCAACGCGGCGGCAAAGGGAGGAAGUGUAGGUGGAGCGGCUAAACAUGUGUUUGUUUUGUCCUCAUCGUGGGUGUUUCAGGGUGUCUGCAGGAUCUCCCGUGCCACCAGAACGCCGAGACGCAGCGAUACCCUGUAGUGAAUGUUUGAGAUGAAGCGGUUUGGUUUUGUUGGUGGCAGUGAUGCUCCAACUCUGGCUGAGACCCUUUGGAAAUAUAAUCUUGAUGGAUGUGAUCAUCUCUGGUGUGUCUGAGCAAGAGUGCCUGGUCACCAAGGAGGUGAUAUGCAGCCAAACCUCUUGCAUCUUGCUGACCAGUGCCUUGGAUACAAUGAAAGCACUGCAACCAACAUUCAGCGAUGCCUUGUCAACAGUUUCCCUUGGUGGAUUGAUCAAGAUGAGUGCCCAAGCUUCCAGAAAGGUUGUGGGAACAAGAUAAAGAAGUGCAAUAGGUCUACAUGCACGUGAGUCUAGGGAAAGGUUGCUGCCUUCCUCCACAGUGUGCUUAAAUGAUGCCAGGGGGUUGGCACUCAGUACAUCACAACAGUACAUGCAGCAUCAGUUUGUCUUAAUAUGAACAGGGAAGGAUUUAGGUGAGAUGACCAGACGACAGAUGAGUGACUUCAGUCGGUGGGUGUCAGCAGAAGAAAUAGUGUAACUAAGAAUAUUGGAGUUACACAGCUUAGAGAGAAGUUCCUUACCUCCCUGCCCUUAAUUUUUUAUAUCCUCAAGAAACCAGAAUGCAUAACCACACCAGUGCACUGCUGCAUCAUGAAUAGGGUUUGUGAAGGAUUUAGGUGAGAUGACCAGACAACAGACGAGUGACUUCAGUCGGUGGGUGUCAGCAGAAGAAAUUGUGUAACUAAGAAUAUUGGAGUUAUACAGCUUAGAGAGAAGUUCCUUACCUCCCUGCCCUUAAUUUCUUAUAUCCUCAAGAAACCAGAAUGCAUAACCACACCAGUGCACUGCUGCAUCAUGAAUAGGGUUUGUGAAGGAUUUAGGUGAGAUGACCAGACAACAGAUGAGUGACUUCAGUCGGUGGGUGUCAGCAGAAGUUGUGUAACUAAGAAUAUUGGGGUUAUACAGCUUAGAGAAGUUCUUUACCUCCCUGCCCUUACUGUCUUCUUGUAUCUUCAAACUGGAAUGCAUAACCUCACCAAUGCACUGCUGCAUCAUGAACAAAACUUGUGAAGGAUCUGAGUCAAGUGGCCAUGAAGGAGACGAAUUUACUUGAAUGUUAGAUGUCAGUUGAAUGGAGGAAACAAAUGAUGGAGGUGUGUGUAGUAGGUUUUGGAGAAUUAACAAUAUCUUGGGUGAAUGAUUAAAGUAUCAUCUUGAGUAAGUCACUAUAGUAAGUAGUUAAUUAUAACACUAAAAAUACUAGGAUAUAGUAUAUCAGUAUACAAGUGCAUGCAAUGAUAUGGUGGCAUCAGAGGCUGGUAUGAGGUAAAGGUUGUGUUGAUAUUAACAAGGAAAGUAAUAAUGUGAAGAAUGGAAGCCCUAUUAAGUCAGAAUUUAUGGAAAAAGUAAUUUUUUUGCAAACAAAUUUUAUUAAUAAACUGCUAUUACCAUAAAUCCCAUGAUUAGGUUGUGAUGCCCAGGUUGAAUUGAUCACUUAGCAAGACCAAAAUUGGAGUGCAUGUUAUUUUGGGUUCAGUGAGAAAUUGGCUCAUUUGAGUAGAGGUAUCUUCACAGUAGACUGGUUGUGUAUUCCAUUAAGAGAACAGGAGGAUGGAAAUGUCAAUACUUAAACCUAUUGCAUGAAAAUGUGCACAAAUUUGUAUAGGUGUUAUAAAAUAAAUUGAUAAUGUAA